GGUAGACCUAGACAGAACAGGUGAGUACAGGUAGACCAAGACAGAGAAGGUGAGUACAGGUAGACCAAGACAGAGCAGGUGAGUACAGGUAGACCAAGACAGAGCAGGUGAGUACAGGUAGACCUAGACAGAGCAGGUGAGUACAGGUAGA